AUUAUUCAUAACGACUCUCGGCAACGGAUAUCUCGGCUCUCGCAUCGAUGAAGAACGUAGCGAACUGCGAUACUUGGUGUGAAUUGCAGAAUCCCGUGAACCAUCGAGUCUUUGAACGCAAGUUGCGCCCGAAAGCUUUGCUUAGGGCACGUUUGCCUGGGUGUC
rnacentral:rRNA from 2 species